ensembl:snRNA U6 U6 spliceosomal RNA
AUACUUGCUUUGGCAGGAUAUGUACUAAAAUUGGAAUGAUACAGAAAAGAUUAGCAUGGUUCCUGCUAAAGGAUGACAUGCAUAUUUGUGAAUCAUUCCAUACUGUC